GAUGAACGCUGGCGGCGUGCUUAACACAUGCAAGUCGAACGAUGAACCGGGUGCUUGCACUCGGGGAUUAGUGGCGAACGGGUGAGUAACACGUGAGCAACCUGCCCCUGACUCUGGGAUAAGCGCUGGAAACGGCGUCUAAUACUGGAUAUGUCCCGUCACCGCAUGGUGUGCGGGUGGAAAGAUUUUUCGGUUGGGGAUGGGCUCGGUGCCUAUCAGCUUGAUGGUGAGGUAAUGGCUCCACAUGGCUUUGACGGGUAGCCGGCCUGAGAGGGUGACCGGUCACACUGGGACUGAGACACGGCCCAGACUCCUACGGGAGGCAGCAGUGGGGAAUAUUGGACAAUGGGCGGAAGCCUGAUCCAGCAACGCCGCGUGAGGGAUGACGGCCUUCGGGUUGUAAACCUCUUUCGGUAGCGACGAAGCGCAAGUGACGGUACCUACUAAAGAAGCACCGGCCAACUACGUGCCAGCCGCCGCAGUAA
rnacentral:rRNA from 1 species